GAAAAAUUGACCUCGAUCGAUCACUUCGUUCUGGCUAGUGGAAGAGGCAGGAGUGAUCGAUUUUUAAGUGUCGCGCCGUGAUGUGUUGUUAAAGAUUUGUUGAGUGUAACUUGUUGAGUGCAACGUUAUAUUGCGUAAAGUUAUUAGCAGCUUCGUGCGUGUGGUUAAAAUUGUGCAGGUUUGUGGCAUUCUGCGGAGCCGUACACAUCACACCAAAAGUCAACGAUCGCUUCUGACCCCACCGUCAGCUACGAGGGUUUUCCCGGAAGUUCGUCAACCGGAAGAGGGUUUGCGAACAUUCAUCGCGCCCUAGGCAAGGCUAGCAGAUACCCGGAUUCAUCGCGAAAUUGCGCCAAUCGUCUACAAUUCAUCGCCGCGACGACCGUACCCGUUCAUCGCCGCCGCGUGAAGCCCACAGACCGGAGGGAAUCAUCUGCGUCAACGUCAUCGACGCGAACAUCAAUCAACGCGUCCGUUCGAAUG